AUUCCGUGAUGAGGGCACUUCCGUAAUAAUUCUUUAUACCUUUCUCAUGCCUCAUACAAGGAACCCAUCAUCCAUUUUUUGGAAAGAAGUGAUCUCAUUCCUCAACUU
rfam:Gossypium raimondii Chr06_contig_356, whole genome shotgun sequence.